GCAACGCAAAAACAGAAAAGCCACUUUGAAAAAUGAUUCAGCAGUUUCUUAUAAGAAUUAAACAUACACCUGUCAUUCAACUCAGCAAUCUCAUGCUUAGGGUGGUGCAUGGUUCCUACUUUGCUUCUCCUGGAGUUCUAACUGCUUGGAUGCCACAGGUUACAUGAUCCCCGGAGUCAAGCAAUUAUUUCAGACAGAGAAUUCAAGCCUGCCCUGUGCUUGUGUUUUCUAUAAAUGAAGAGAAAGGUUUACUGAGAAUCCACUAUAUGGAAAUAAAUGCUAAGGGCAGAUGGAAUGAGAAACUCGAAGAUGCAGCCUUUCAGCAGCCUACUAUAGCUACCCAAGUACGUCCAGUGGAAGGUGGAGUGUGAUGUGUGCUCCGGAGAAACCCUCCACCCAAAAACCCCGUGAGUGAGGAAGGAAGGCCGGUCACCUGGCUGAGCUCUUCCCCUGCUGCCACCUAGGAGAGAGUCUGGUUGAAUCCAUCCAGAAGAACUGGGAAACCAGAGCUCCACAACCUACCUCUCCCAAUCACCACCAUCCCCCACCACCAGAAAUUGCUUCUUCUGCACUGAAGUAUGAAACCUACUGGUUACUCUUAUUUGGCACCUGUGAUCAGACACAUUGUAUUUGAGAUCUCGGAUACAACACAGAUGAAAGAAACAGCCACAAUAGGAACUUAAGCAGCCAACUAGCAACCUGGUCAGUUGGAGUUGGAGUCUUGUGCCGUGUGCGGAAGGUUUCCUAGCGAGGGGACCACAUCACCUUCACACGGACAUUUCCAUUUGGAAGCAUCCCUCGUUUCUUUGUCUCUG